rnacentral:rRNA from 1 species
AGUGAACGCUGGCGGUAGGCCUAACACAUGCAAGUCGAACGGCAGCACAGUAAGAGCUUGCUCUUACGGGUGGCGAGUGGCGGACGGGUGAGGAAUACAUCGGAAUCUACUUUUUCGUGGAGGAUAACGUAGGGAAACUUACGCUAAUACCGCAUACGACCUACGGGUGAAAGCAGGGGAUCUUCGGACCUUGCGCGAUUGAAUGAGCCGAUGUCGGAUUAGCUAGUUGGCGGGGUAAAGGCCCACCAAGGCGACGAUCCGUAGCUGGUCUGAGAGGAUGAUGAGCCACACUGGAACUAAGACACGGUCCAAACUCCUACGGGAGGCAGCAGUGGGGAAUAUUGGACAAUGGGCGCAAGCCUGAUCCAGCCAUACCGCGUGGGUGAAGAAGGCCUUCGGGUUGUAAAGCCCUUUUGUUGGGAAAGAAAAGCAGCAGGUUAAUACCCCGCUGUUCUGACGGUACCCAAAGAAUAAGCACCGGCUAACUUCGUG